rnacentral:rRNA from 1 species
CCUACGGGAGGCUGCAGUGGGGAAUAUUGCACAAUGGGGGAAACCCUGAUGCAGCGACGCCGCGUGAGGGAAGAAGGCUUUCGGUAUGUAAAGCUCUAUCAGCAGGGAAGAAAAUGACGGUACCUGAUUAUGAAGCCCCGGCUAACUACGUGCCAGCAGCCGCGGUAAUACGUAGGGGGCAAGCGUUAUCCGGAUUUACUGGGUGUAAAGGGAGCGUAGACGGGAGCACAAGUCUGGAGUGAAAGGCCGCGGCUUAACCCUGGAACUGCUUUGGAAACUGUGCAGCUAGAGUGCAGGCGAGGUAAGUGGAAUUCCUAGUGUAGCGGUGAAAUGCGUAGAUAUUAGGAGGAACACCAGUGGCGAAGGCGACUGACUGGACUGUAACUGACGUUGAGGCUCGAAAGCGUGGGGAGCAAACAGGAUUAGAUACCCUUGUAGUC